rnacentral:rRNA from 1 species
UACGGAGGAUGCAAGCGUUAUCCGGAUUUAUUGGGUUUAAAGGGUGCGCAGGUUGUUUGAUAAGUCAGUGGUGAAAGUCUGUCGCUUAACGGUAGGAUUGCCAUUGAUACUGUUAGACUUGAAUAUGGAUGAGGUAGGCGGAAUGUGUAGUGUAGCGGUGAAAUGCUUAGAGAUCACACAGAAUAUCGAUUGCGAAGGCAGCUCACAAAGCCAAGAUUGACGCUGAGGCACGAAAGUGUGGGGAUCAAACA